rnacentral:sRNA from 1 species
ACGAGCGUAGCUUCCUUGUCGUGUGGCCUCAGUCCUUCGCCGUCCCUCGCCGUCCUUCGCCAUCGCACGCCACCGCACCCCAUCUCUCGAAAUCUGCAGACAUCUUGAUUUUUCCCACGCUGUCUGUCAGGUCUCCGCCGCCACUCGACGCCAGGGCGCCGGGUGAGUCCACAGCAGGGCGCAUGGUCGGCUCCACUCUCACCAUCGGGGGAAACUGAGGCCCCGGGGAAGGCGGCCAGAGAGGUCAGGCCCUGUCCUUGGUGCAGUGUCUCGUCCUCUUUGCCGGAGUGAGCCCCCCAGGAUUCGCGUGUCCUCGGGAAAGACACUGGCGGGCCUUGUGGGCUGUGCUGCACCUCGGACGGCUUCGCACCAGCCAGCGCCCUCUCUCUCCUGCAGCACUCUGAUCUGCACCCCCUGAGGGGCUUCCACUGUCCGCGGGGUGAGAAUGCCCCUGGGAGUGUCACAUGACUGCCGCCCCAUGUGUGUGAGAGGCGUCCUCUGGGAGAGCAUGGAUCCUGAGGUCCCAGGAAAACAGGUGCCUGUGCCACAUUAUUUGCACGGAGAGACUGUGUCCAGUGAACGGUUCUGAUCAGUAAACUGUUGACUAGGAACAUCCCGAGAGCCAAGUUCCCAGAUGCCAGCCAAGGGCCAUCUGACCUGUUUUGAAUCUCAAUUUCCUGAUACAGAAAACAAAGGAUUGUCAGCUGACCUCUGUCCUGUGUGCCCAGUGGCCCCAGGUGACGUGUCUUCAAGAAGAGGCUGAGCUGCGGUGCUUGUAAGAGUCAUGUGCUGUUCCUGGGGCUUGGAUGAUGUAGGGGAAGCAAGGUGAAAGUGGUAUCCCGUGGUUCCACGUUCUGUCCUGCUGUGGGGCUGUCCCUCACAUGCUUUCAGUGGCUGUUGCAGAGGAAGAGCCUCCGGAAAUCUGCGUGGGUCUCAGCCUUAGAUCCAAGGACAGUCCAAGGAAGUCCUAAGACCAUGGAGUUGGUGAUCUAGGAUCUGGGUUUGCUGAUAUUUCUCACCGUGAAUCUCUUGGUGGUGUUUGUGGGCACGAGAGGGGCAGAGAAUGGAGAGUGAGGCUACCACAUGAAGCGUCACCAGAGCUGCUCCCUGCUGCCUGCUCAGAGCACCCCGGAUCCACUGUUCAAUCUGCACAAGAUUCGGGGUCCAGACAUGGGAGACUUCAGCUGCCUCAGAGGACCGUGGACAGGGAAGGCCAGCCUCGCAUCCCUCUGUCCAUGCCUGGAAUGACUUUAAUAACCAAGAGUUUUAUUUUUGAAUUUGUAGCUGUCGUUCACUUUUUACCCACCCAUUCAAUAAACCUUACAGAAUUGC